rnacentral:ncRNA from 1 species
UAGGUAAACCUGUUGAAAGGCAGGGACACAAAGCUUGGUGUCUAAGGCAUAUUUGCUAUGAUUGACCGGCCG